GACGAACGCUGGCGGCGUGCUUAACACAUGCAAGUCGAGCGACUGCAUUCUUUUCGGAGGGUGUAUGGAGCGGCGAACGGGUGAGUAACACGUGAGUAAUCUGCCUUUGGCUUGGGAAUAACUUCGGGAAAUCGGGGCUAAUGCCUGAUGUUUACUGUCUGCUGCAUGGUGGGUGGUGGAAAGAUUUUUUGGCCAGGGAUGAGCUCGCGGUCUAUCAGCUUGNGGUGGGGUAAUGGCUUACCAAGGCUUUGACGGGUAGCCGGCCUGAGAGGGGUGUUCGGCCACACUGGGACUGAGACACGGCCCAGACUCCUACGGGAGGCAGCAGUGGGGAAUAUUGCGCAAUGGGCGUAAGCCUGACGCAGCGACGCCGCGUGGGGGAGUGAAGG
rnacentral:rRNA from 1 species